rnacentral:rRNA from 1 species
UACGUAGGGUGCGAGCGUUAAUCGGAAUUAUUGGGCGUAAAGCGUGCGUAGGCGGUUCGCUGUGUCCGAUGUGAAAGCCCCGGGCUUAACCUGGGAAUGGCAUUGGAAACUGGCGGGCUUGAGUGCGGCAGAGGGGGGUGGAAUUCCGCGUGUAGCAGUGAAAUGCGUAGAGAUGCGGAGGAACACCGAUGGCGAAGGCAGCCCCCUGGGUCGACACUGACGCUCAGGCACGAAAGCGUGGGGAGCAAACAGG